UACGUAGGUGGCAAGCGUUGUCCGGAAUUAUUGGGCGUAAAGCGCGCGCAGGCGGUCCUUUAAGUCUGAUGUGAAAGCCCACGGCUCAACCGUGGAGGGUCAUUGGAAACUGGGGGACUUGAGUACAGAAGAGAAGAGUGGAAUUCCACGUGUAGCGGUGAAAUGCGUAGAGAUGUGGAGGAACACCAGUGGCGAAGGCGGCUUUCUGGGCCUUACCUGACGCUGAGACGCGAAAGCGUGGGGAGCGAACCGG
rnacentral:rRNA from 1 species